UUGAGUGAUAGGUGUGAAGAGGGAGUAGGAAGAUGGCUUCCUACCGAGCCCCAUAGUGGUGACUGUGUGGGAGUGGCAGGAUGAGGUUGGUACCUGGCACCCCUACAGUGCUGCUGUAUGUAGCUAUAUCGAACAGCAGUUCAUGACAUUCCCUUGGGCCAAGCUGACCCCACACUCUGGGGGUCUCUGCCUGUGAAAGUCAAGGAGAUGGGAAAUGGAAUGCUGCGAUUUAGGGGAAAGCAAGUAGAUCAAUGUGGUUGGAAUGUAGAACUUGUAAGGGAAGUAAUGCAUGAUUAGCCUGAAGAGGCAUCUAAAUGUCAAGCUGAGGAGUUUGUACUUUAUUCUAGAGGGCAUAAGGACUCAGGGAGCUGGAACAUGGUGUUGUUGAAUGAUCACUGGAUUUGGAAUCCAAGAACCUGGAUUUCUAUUAUUCUCUCUAUUAUGGAAAACAAUUGAAAAAUGGUCCAGAGAGUCUGAACCGCAGGAGUCAAGAAUCUCUUAUUGUGGUCUUAGCACAGAUGUACUGUUUCUGCCAGAGGAAGAUGCCAGCCUGGAGUGUCUAUUCAGUGGAUUGACCUGGAAGGAUCAGGUACAGAUGGACAAUAGAUGGUGAGUUUAAAGAGAUGCAGACUGUAGGCUUGGGCAGCCUUGCAACCUUGCAGGGACCUUGGAAGGUUGGCAUUCUAAAGGAGGAAGCUUAUGGCUCAUCCUGUCUCCCCAAAGGCUCAUUAGAUUACUGGGCCCUGCAACUCUCUGUCUCGGCUUAUGUUGGAUUAAAUGGUCCAAAAGGGAAGACUUGAGGUUUCCUAAGUUUUAAUGUUCCAUCAGUAUAUUGUAUAGAGGUGGUGAGAUGUGGUGGAAAUAGCAGUGUAUUCUCACCUCUCUUCUCGCCUCCAACUCUGUAGAAUCCUGAGUGUGGUAGUAGAAAUAUUUCCUAAGGCCCUGCCGUGUUAAGUAGGGUAGUGUUUCCCAUGGCCCUACUCCAUGUAGGCUGUAGAAAAUGUGGUUGGGAAUGUUGUUUUUGCAUAUCAAUCAUCAGAGUGUGGACCCUUGAAGAGUAGCUGCUGGGGCAUUGACAGCUGUAGGCUGUUGACAAGGAAAUGUGGGGAGUGGGAGAUGUAAUUAGGAGCAGAGAUUCACAUAGGGAAAUUAGGCGCUCUGGAUACGCUGUAAACCCUGCAUUACCCAGUCAAUGGGGAAACGGGAGGGAACUGCGAUUUGGGCCUAGGAAUAAAAAGAUUUGCUCUUCCUUCUGUAAGGUGGCC
rnacentral:lncRNA from 1 species